rnacentral:snRNA from 1 species
AGAGUAAUGUUAAGAGAU